GCUGGGCGUGAUGGCUCAUGCCUGUAAUCCCAACACUUUGGGAGGCCGAGGCAGGUGGAUCACUUGAGGUCAGGAGUUUGAGACCAGCCUGGCCAACACAGUGAAACCCUGUCUCUA
rnacentral:SRP_RNA from 2 species